UGAUAAUUAGUUUAACAAAAAUAAAUGGUUUCGACCCAUUAGAUUGUGAUUCUAUUUCAUAAUUAUCAA
rnacentral:tRNA from 2 species